rnacentral:rRNA from 1 species
CUGUGGAGUCGGCGGUGCCUAACUAAGAACCACCGGCCGAGUCCGUGCGGGGUAGGCAGGCAUUAUCGGGGGUGCAAGCGUUAUCCGGAUUCACUGGGUUUAAAGGGUGCGUAGGGGGGUUUGUAAGUCAGUGGUGAAAUCCCCGAGCUUAACUUGGGAACUGCCAUUGAUACUGCAAGUCUUGAAUUUUCUGGAGGUAAGCGGAAUAUGUCAUGUAGCGGUGAAAUGCUUAGAUAUGACAUAGAACACCCAUUGCGAAGGCAGCUUACUACGGGAAUAUUGACGCUGAGGCACGAAAGCGUGGGGAUCAAACAGGAUUAGAUACCCUGGUAGUCCACGCCCUAAACGAUGAUUACUCGACAUUAGCGAUAUUACAGUUAGUGUCUAAGCGAAAGCAUUAAGUAAUCCACCUGGGAAGUACGACCGCAAGGUUGAAACUCAAAUGAAUUGACGGA